rnacentral:tRNA from 1 species
GCCUGGGUGGCUCAGUCAGUGGAGCAUGCAACUCCUGAUUUUGGGAUUGUGAGUUUGAGUCCCACCUUGGGUG